GUGCUUGCUUUGGCAGCACAAACACUAAAAUUGGAAUGAUACAGAGAAUAUUAGCAUGGCCCCUGUACAAGGAUGAAGUGCAAAUUUGUGAAGUGUUCCAUAUUAUU
rnacentral:snRNA from 1 species